UACGGAGGGUGCAAGCGUUAUCCGGAAUCACUGGGUUUAAAGGGUGCGUAGGCGGUUUGAUAAGUCAGUUGUGAAAUUCCCCGGCUUAACCGGCGGGACUGCGAUUAAUACUGCCAGACUUGAAUUAGGUUGAGGUAGGCGGAAUGUGGCAUGUAGCGGUGAAAUGCAUAGAUAUGCCAUAGAACACCGAUUGCGAAGGCAGCUUGCUGGACCUUAAUUGACGCUGAGGCACGAAAGCGUGGGGAGCAAACAGG
rnacentral:rRNA from 1 species